AACGAACGCUAGCGGCAGGCCUAAUACAUGCAAGUCGAGGGGCAGCGCGGUAGCAAUACUGGCGGCGACCGGCGCACGGGUGCGUAACACGUAUGCAACCUACCUUCAACUGGAGGAUAGCCCGGGGAAACUCGGAUUAAUACUCCAUAACACAGGGAUCCCGCAUGGGAAUAUUGUUAAAGCUACGGCGGUUGAAGAUGGGCAUGCGUUCGAUUAGCUAGUUGGUGUAGGUAACGGCUCACCAAGGCUACGAUCGAUAGGGGGUCUGAGAGGAUGAUCCCCCACACUGGUACUGAGAUACGGACCAGACUCCUACGGGAGGCAGCAGUAGGGAAUAUUGGUCAAUGGGCGCAAGCCUGAACCAGCCAUGCCGCGUGCAGGAAGAAGGCCCUCUGGGUUGUAAACUGCUUUUGAUAGGGAACAAAUGCCACUUGCGAGUGGAGCUGAGUGUACCUAUAGAAUAAGCACCGGCUAACUCCGUGCCAGCAGCCGCGGUAAU
rnacentral:rRNA from 1 species